GACGAACCGUCCAAACGUUAUUCGGAAUCACUGGGCUUAAAGGGUGCGUAGGCGGCCCGGGAAGUUGGGUGUGAAAGCCCUCGGCUCAACCGAGGAAUUGCGCCCAAAACUGCCGGGCUUGAGGGAGACAUAGGUGAGCGGAACUUAGGGUGGAGCGGUGAAAUGCGUUGAGAUCCUAAGGAACACCAGUAGCGAAAAGCGGCUCACUGGGUCUCUUCUGACGCUGAUGCACGAAAGCUAGGGGGAGCGAAGAGG
rnacentral:rRNA from 1 species